CUUUUGUUGUAUUCCGAGGCACUUCGUAAAGCUGCUUAGCAGAACCGGUAAAGAGCGUUUGUAUAAAAAGGGAGGAUAAUCUCAUUGAAAUAAGAACGUUUGUUAAGCGUAGUUUGUUUAUCAUACUUCAAUAGAUGUCGGUGUCUUCGUUCUCUGUCGCAUCGGCUUAAUAUCGCUUGUAAGCUUUAUAUUAAAUCAACUGAUGAUCUGUUUUUCUUUUAGAUAAAAUCCAAAUGCUGAAAUGUAAUAAAAGCAAAAAAAAACUGUACGUAGAACAAAAUAAAAUCAAAAUCAAAAUUUUUCCAAUCAUUCCACACAAAGAUAGUUUUCAAUUCGGAUCGACACAUGUCCUAUGUGAUUUGCUGUUCAUUUUUUAUCAUAGUAAAUAAUAAUAAGUGUUUUAUAUCUGCUAUAACACAUGCAACAUUAUGAUAACUGGCUUUGAUUUUAAGUACCAAAUGAAUUACGUAUGUACAAACGGAAUUCUUAUGAAGCCGAGAGUUACAUGAGCAGCCGUUUAUUCCGAGAAAAUGCAAUGUGCGGAGAAAUUGCGGGCACACAAUGAAGGAUCCCAGUAAACUCACUUUGCCGCCAUAGGUGUGCACAAGACAAACUAUGUUUUUACGGGGUGCUCCAAUACUAGGUCAAGAGAAUAUUCUGAGUUAUGAAAUAUUUAAGCAUAUUUGUUCCAUGUUAACUUAUUUAAUAUUUUAAAGGUAAAUCUUUACUAAUAAAUAUUGGUAAAUCAA